GUAUCAAUGUUUUGAGGCCUUUCAGAAAGGAAAAGCUCCGUGGUAGUGAUUUUCAGAGCGCGCGUGAUCUGCCUUCAGGUCCGAGCACCACUAGCUAGCGUUGAUCGAGUUUGGAGCAUUUCUGGUCUGGAGACAGGGCAUUAUUGUCAUGCGAUCGAGAGAAACUUUAUUGUAAUCUUUUGGGAUUUCAUCAGUUGAGUGUCUUUUUUUCCCAAGAAUCAUAUUUAUUGGCUUCGACCAAGGAAAGGAAAGGAGAUACUUAGUUCGGGAGCAGGAGAUUAGUCAAAUAUGUUCGAGAGGUUCUGUAUCGUUGGGAUUAUUUUGUUCUACUUUACUAAUUAGGAGCAUUUUGACAGUUGAAAGGUACUUUCGUCGUCAAUGGAAAAUAGUAAAGGAAAGGCUAAUUUUCUUGGGUGCAGGUAAUGACUUCAAUUUUGAUUUGCUUAAUGAACCAAGUCAACUAGUAUAUUAGAUUUUGUGCUUAAUAAUUAUCUCAACAUUGAGCUUGUUCCUAAGAUUGAAUUAUACAUAUUAUCUCGUCUGUUGGAUUAUAUUACUAAAUUAUUUUCCAUCAGUUGAAGAAGAAAAACACUAGUUUCAAAGACUCGGAAAAAAGCUCAUUAGAAAAGCUUGGUUCAUUAUAAGUUCCUUCCAACCCUCUCCAAGUGUACCAUAGAAGACGUAACAAGUGUGAAAAAGUUGAGCCAUUCAUUGAAAGGCAUAACAAGCCUGUCCAGACAAAUGUUUUACUACGAAUGUCGUUCCACUUGCAUCUUUUCUGUUUCUAAUCCAAACUAUGCUACAAACUAUACAUUAUAGGUGUACAAUCGACGAUUUAAAAAUAAUUAGAUACAUAACAACUGCAAAACAGCUUUACCAUACUUUCAGGAAUUGCAGAACAUGAAGCGGCAAACACCAAAAGUUUCUACUACCGAAGUCCAGGGAAGGCUGCCAGCCUUUGCGUUCACAAGAAACCAAGGCUUCAAGCAUCUAGCAGUAAAAAUGGACUCAUAGUGAAACAUAAAAGAAUCCUGAAAUCAAUCACAAGAAGAAAGAUGCACAAGUUUCAAACGAUGAAACACCUAGUGACAAAGAAAAUGAUCUUGAGAACAAAUGUAAUCCUUGAUGAGGAGGCAAUACAAGAAUGGAAAUCUCUGAUAGGAAAACCGGAACAUGAAGGCUGCAAAUCUGAAAAAUGUGAUGAAAGAUGGGGAGUAGAGAGGACAUUGUUCCACGGACGGGUGUUAUUAUUCAUUUCUCGCAUGCAUCUUAUCCAAGGUAUUAUAUUAUGCUUGUAUUCAUUAAACUCAGUAUCGAAAUGUGAUCUAGAUAUUUUAUUGUAUGC